rnacentral:rRNA from 1 species
AACGAACGCUGGCGGCAUGCCUAACACAUGCAAGUCGAACGAUGCCUUCGGGCCUAGUGGCGCACGGGUGCGUAACGCGUGGGAAUCUGCCUUUCGGUUCGGAAUAACUCAGGGAAACUUGAGCUAAUACCGGAUAACGUCGCAAGACCAAAGAGUUAUCACCGAAAGAUGAGCCCGCGUAGGAUUAGCUAGUUGGUGAGGUAAAGGCUCGCCAAGGCGACGAUCCUUAGCUGGUCUGAGAGGAUGAUCAGCCACACUGGGACUGAGACGCGGCCCAGACUCCUACGAGAGGCAGCAGUGGGGAAUAUUGGAGAGUGAGCGAGAGCCUGAGCCAGCGAGGCCGCGUGAGUGAUGAAGGCCUUAGGGUUGUAAAGCUCUUUUACCCGGGAAGAUAAUGACGGUACCGGGAGAAUAAGCCCCGGCAAACUCCUU